AAACGACUCUCGGCAACGGAUAUCUCGGCUCUUGCAUCGAUGAAGAACGUAGCGAAAUGCGAUACUUGGUGUGAAUUGCAGAAUCCCGUGAACCAUCGAGUCUUUGAACGCAAGUUGCGCCUGAAGCCAUUAGGUUGAAGGCACGUCUGCCUGGGCGUCACGCAUUG
rnacentral:rRNA from 1 species